AGUGAGUGUUGGUCUAGAACACA
rnacentral:miRNA from 11 species